GAUGAAGAACGUAGCGAAAUGCGAUAAGUAGUGUGAAUUGCAGAAUUCAGUGAAUCAUCGAAUCUUUGAACGCACAUUGCGCCCCUUGGUAUUCCAUGGGGCAUGCCUGUUCGAGCGUCAUUUGUACCUUCAAGCUCUGCUUGGUGUUGGGUGAUUGUCUAUCUUUGUAGACUCGCCUUAAAGUCAUUGGCAGCCGGCAUAUUGGCCUGGGAGCGCAGCACAAGUCGCGCUUCUUGUCAUGAAUGUUGGCGUCCAGUAAGUCUACAUAUUUUGCUCUUGACCGCGGAUCAGGUAGGGAUACCCGCUGAACUUAAGCAUAUCAAUAAGCGGAGGA
rnacentral:misc_RNA from 1 species